rnacentral:rRNA from 1 species
AGAAUCAACGCUGGCGGCGUGCCUAACACAUGCAAGUCGCACGAGAAAGGGACUUCGGUCCUGAGUAAAGUGGCGCACGGGUGAGUAACACGUGAAUCAUCUACCUCCGAGUGGGGAAUAACCUAGAGAAAUCUGGGCUAAUACCGCAUAACACUUACGAGUCAAAGCAGCAAUGCGCUUGGAGAGGAGUUCGCGGCAGAUUAGUUAGUUGGCGGGGUAAUGGCCCACCAAGACGAUGAUCUGUAUCCGGCCUGAGAGGGCGCACGGGACACACUGGAACUGAAACACGGUCCAGACUCCUACGGGAGGCAGCAGUGGGGAAUUUUGCGCAAUGGGGGAAACCCUGACGCAGCAACGCCGCGUGGAGGAUGAAAUAUCUUGGUAUGUAAACUCCUUUCGAUGGGGAAGAUAAUGACGGUACCCAUAGAAGAAGCCCCGGCUAACUUCGUGCCAGCAGCCGC